rnacentral:rRNA from 1 species
GAUGAACGCUGGCGGCGUGCUUAACACAUGCAAGUCGAACGGUGAACACGGAGCUUGCUCUGUGGGAUCAGUGGCGAACGGGUGAGUAACACGUGAGCAACCUGCCCCUGACUCUGGGAUAAGCGCUGGAAACGGCGUCUAAUACUGGAUAUGUGACGUGACCGCAUGGUCUGCGUUUGGAAAGAUUUUUCGGUUGGGGAUGGGCUCGCGGCCUAUCAGCUUGUUGGUGAGGUAAUGGCUCACCAAGGCGUCGACGGGUAGCCGGCCUGAGAGGGUGACCGGCCACACUGGGAUUGAGACACGGCCCAGACUCCUACGGGAGGCAGCAGUGGGGAAUAUUGCACAAUGGGCGAAAGCCUGAUGCAGCAACGCCGCGUGAGGGAUGACGGCCUUCGGGUUGUAAACCUUUUUUAGCAGGGAAGAAGCGAAAGUGACGGUACCUGCAGAAAAAGCGCCGGCUAACCACGUG